AAGCAACAGAAUGUCAACCACUAUAUAUGUCAUCUACUUGCUGUAGUCUGUGUUCACUUGUUCUGCUUUUCUGACUAGAAAGUUGUUUAUUAUAGCUAUGAUAAGGUAGCACUUCUGUAAUUAAAAACUGUUUUCUGUACAGGGUGGCUCAUAUGACUCAUAUGGUGGUGGCAGCCAAUAUGGGCAGGGUUCGUAUGGUGGAUCCUAUAGUAGCAGCCAAUAUGGACAGGGUGGACAUGGUGGAUCAUAUGGAAGCCAAUAUGGCCAGGUAAAAUAUUGUAAAAGG
rnacentral:lncRNA from 1 species